rnacentral:lncRNA from 1 species
AUAUGGAUAAUAAUAGAUGAAGUAAAAGAAAACGAAAAAUUUUCAAAUAUUAUUUAUGUGAUUUCGUACAUCCUUAUUUUAGUAUCCUGCGAUUUAAAAUAUAUUACUUUUGUAACCUGUAGUUUUUUUUUAUUAUUAUUCUCUUCACUAAUCUUUUUGGUUAAAUUACUUGUAAUUUUAAUUUUUUUACUAUUCUCUUCACUAAUUUUUUUCGUUAAAUUAAUGACAAAAUUAAAACUAAAGAAUACUAAAAUGGAUAUUCGAUAAACUAUAGGUGGGAUAUCUGAAGUUUUUUUUAUAUAAUUUAACGAAAAGUUAACGAAGGAGCUGUCAAAAGAGAAAAAUAAAUUAUAGGAUACUAAUUAAAUUAACACACUUUAAACCACAAGGUAUUAAAGUGAGAAAGUGCGAAAUCACAGGGGUGUUAUUUGAAGUUUAUUCUAAAAAAACUUUACUUUUAUAAAAAUAAUUUUUACAAUAGUAAUUUUUCAGUUCAAUUGUUUAAUUGGCUAUAAAAUAAAAUAUUAAAAUUACACCUUUGUAAUUUUGAUUAUCGAAUUAUAUAUAAUGUGAUGAAAAUAUAAAUAAACGACUUAUACUUGCAAUUUAAAUAAUAGUGAUUUGGAUUGUAAAAUGAGUAAUGAUCAUUGAUAUUUUGCCUAUCAAAAUUGUAAAAAUUGGUGUGUAAAUUUUACUAUUGGUCAAUGAGUUUGUUGUAAAAAUUCAAGUUAUUUUUAGGAUUAAUUUCAUACACGUUUCUGCAAAAAUAUUAAAUAAUAAAUAAAUCAUUACAAAAUUUAAAUGAUCAAAUUUGUUUCUUCGAAAAUUUUUUGGUUUGUAAAUAUAUUCCUCUAAAACUCUUAUUUAUUCGCAUUCAUAUAUGUCCUUACUGUUUGAUUCACUGUUAAUAUUUUAACAGUGGUCAUGUAAAAUAACUAUUUUGCCCUUAUAAAUUUGUUUCCGUAAAGAAUUAUCUUUCUUUC